UACUCGGGCACUGCCUGCCCAGGAAGCUGAGGCUCCCAGGCAGAGCAGCCUCGGCUCCCGGCACCCAAGCAGGGACCCGGCCGCCAGGCCUCGCUGAUCAGCGCCGGGUGCCCGAAGCCCUGGGGCCCGGUCCUCAUGUAUUCGCUCUGCGCCCAGCUGGAAGGGCGAGGUGGAACAGGAAGGCCGGGAAGGGAAAAGUUUGCGACAGGCUGCCGCGGUGUCGGAGGCGAGGCGAGGAAGGGAGCUGGAAUAACAAAGGGCUGGAGAGAUCACUCCUUCUACCGCCGGGAGAGAGGAGGCAACAUGAAUUCAUUCCCAAGGCUCUGGUAGUCUGACAGCCGAUGAACUCAGCCUGGAAUUCCUGAAGGCUUGGAGCCUGCAGCUCGGGUCCCCGGGACUUGAUGUGUCCGUGUGCCGUGCGGAACCUGUUUGAUUUUCCCAGGGGAAACCCUGCCUUCUCCUGCCACUGGGCACUGGGGAAGGUGCUCCUUUCCUGCCUCCUCAGCCUUCCGACCUGUCACAAGGACUGUUACUGCUGCUGCUUCCCCCACUCACCCACCCACAGGUGGCAGCUGAGUAUCUGGGGAGGGUGGGUGAUUUGCAAUCACUUCCUGACCUUUAGGGACACCCAGAGGCACCAUCCCAGCAAAUUCCUGUGGGAGGGAGUCCCUGCUUCUCAGCCUGUGGGUGGCCCAAGUUCACAGGUGGGUUGAGGGCUGCCUGAGAAAUCCUUGAAGGCCUGCUUUGGAAAGUGGGAAUUCAGCUUGCUGCCUGUUGGCUAAACCUACAGCUCACCCACCACAGCAUCCUACAGCAUUGCAAUGAGCAGAAAGCCACCCCCACGCCCAGGACUAAAAUCCCAUAGUGGAGUUUUCCAAGCAUUUAAGGACUUGGAAUGCAAGAAACCAGCCACAGCCAGCAACUGGGCCAGUUCCUGUUGCCUUGAUGACACCGGGUCAGGACACCUGGCCCUCUCAGCCUUCUGUCCAAAUCCCUCACUGAGUACCCAGAGCUGGCUAUCCCUAGGAGGUGGGGGGAUGCAGAUAACCUCAGGAUGACCAUUCAUGUUCAAAAGCUCCUGUCCAGAAGCUUCUGGCCAGUAUUUAUACCUGGGAACCAGGAAGUGACUGCAGGAACCAAGCAGGAGCCAAGCAGGAACCAGCCCAGAGCGAGUGGUAAGGGAUAAGGCCAGCCCUCCCUAGAUGUGCAAGACAGAUGAGCUGCAAGUCUGAGAAACCCCACUCAGGCCUCCUGGGGACCCUGGGCCCCAGUCCUUGCUCUUAGAGGACCCUGCUAUCUCUGACAUCUUCCAGGGAGAUCAGAGGGCAGGUCAGAUUCCCUCUGGGGUCUUGGAUGACACUGUGACCUACUCAGUGCCUACUGUUUGCUGAGGACUGUGGGGCAGGGCAUCUUGGGCAGUAGCUUAUGGCAGUCAAAUUGUGUAUCUAACAAGCCCGCGCUGGGUCCUGAUGCAAAUUCAGGCCCUUGUUAACAGUUUCCUGCUGGCCCUAACCCAGCUCCACAUCUGUAUCCAUGGACUCUGUGUGGCCCCAAACAACUGGCUUUCCCUCUCUGAGCCUUUGUUAGCUUAAGGGCAAGGUCACACUGGCAGUGAUAAGUCUUUCUGAGGCCUAUGUAUCCUGAGGCCCCAGUCUCUCUGCCUCAGCUUCUCUUAUCCAGGAGGUCUGGGGUGAGGCAGAGAUGAACUUACCAUCAUGUCCCAGCCCUGGGACGUGGCAGAUGUACCCCGUUCUGCCAGGGCUGGCCAUGCAUCACUUGUCCAGAGGCAGCUUCAGGACCCACUAUGGGAGCACAGGCUGCAUGGGCGCAGCCCUCGGGUGCUGAUACAGGGCCUGGCUUGGACCCUCCUUCGCCUCGGACUCAGGUGCUAUUCAUUUCCCCUCCCUGGGAGCCAUCAUCAGAACAAAGAGGCCAGACGGAGAGCAAGACCCAGGUCUCAGGAGGCCAGAAGCCACAGGUGUCACUGCGGCUGCAGGAAGAUGAGCAGAGGCUCCACAACCUGCUGGCAUUCUCAAAGCUGCUGGCACUUGGCCUUGACUCUUCAGGACCCUUCUCCUGGGUCAGUGUCUCACUCUCACCGUGGAGCUCUGCUCUUCCUGCUCCUGGCUCCACAUCCAGCUCAGCCCCUGCCCCGCCCCCUCCAGGGAGACCCGGAGAGGAGACUGAGAGCCUGCUUCAGCAUGGGGAUACCUCAGUGCCCAGCCUGCCACUCCUGACCUACAUAUG
rnacentral:lncRNA from 1 species